AGGCAGCAGUAGGGAAUCUUCCGCAAUGGACGAAAGUCUGACGGAGCAACGCCGCGUGAGUGAUGAAGGUUUUCGGAUCGUAAAGCUCUGUUGUUAGGGAAGAACAAGUACCGUUCAAAUAGGGCGGUACCUUGACGGUACCUAACCAGAAAGCCACGGCUAACUACGUGCCAGCAGCCGCGGUAAUACGUAGGUGGCAAGCGUUGUCCGGAAUUAUUGGGCGUAAAGGGCUCGCAGGCGGUUCCUUAAGUCUGAUGUGAAAGCCCCCGGCUCAACCGGGGAGGGUCAUUGGAAACUGGGGAACUUGAGUGCAGAAGAGGAGAGUGGAAUUCCACGUGUAGCGGUGAAAUGCGUAGAGAUGUGGAGGAACACCAGUGGCGAAGGCGACUCUCUGGUCUGUAACUGACGCUGAGGAGCGAAAGCGUGGGGAGCGAACAGGAUUAGAUACCCUGGUAGUCCACGCCGUAAACGAUGAGUGCUAAGUGUUAGGGGGUUUCCGCCCCUUAGUGCUGCAGCUAACGCAUUAAGCACUCCGCCUGGGGAGUACGGUCGC
rnacentral:rRNA from 1 species